UACGUAGGGACCAAGCGUUGUUCGGAUUUACUGGGCGUAAAGGGCGCGUAGGCGGCAGUUCAAGUCAGUUGUGAAAUCUCCGAGCUUAACUCGGAACGGUCAACUGAUACUGUUUUGCUAGAGUGCAGAAGGGGCAAUCGGAAUUCUUGGUGUAGCGGUGAAAUGCGUAGAUAUCAAGAGGAACACCUGAGGUGAAGACGGGUUGCUGGGCUGACACUGACGCUGAGGCGCGAAAGCUAGGGUAGCAAACGGGAUUAGAUACCCUGUAGUCC
rnacentral:rRNA from 1 species